ensembl:lncRNA
AUUACUUUCUGCUGUUCUUUAUCUUUUGGUAUUGUUCUCUGAAUUGAAAGUCUUGUCAUGUUAAUUUAUUUAUAAUCUAACAGAAGCUGAAGAUGCACAGGCUGUUACUGAUGAGCCACUGUAACUCAUUCGCUGCCAAGGGCUGGGGCACACGCGAAAAUGCUGUGGCCUUUUGCUGGGGCAGAGCAAGUAGACAGCAAUACCUGAGAAAGUCGUGACAGCCCAGAGGAGCAUCACAGCCCUGCCGGGUCGGGGGA